UACGGAGGGUGCAAGCGUUAUCCGGAUUCACUGGGUUUAAAGGGUGCGUAGGUGGGCUGGUAAGUCAGUGGUGAAAUCUCCAGGCUUAACUUGGAAACUGCCAUUGAUACUAUCAGUCUUGAAUACCGUGGAGGUCAGCGGAAUAUGUCAUGUAGCGGUGAAAUGCUUAGAUAUGACAUAGAACACCAAUUGCGAAGGCAGCUGGCUACACGAAUAUUGACACUGAUGCACGAAAGCGUGGGGAUCAAACGG
rnacentral:rRNA from 1 species